rnacentral:lncRNA from 1 species
ACAGUUUCCUGUGCUUAUGCUCCUCUUUGUCCUCCAAAGUAGCUUGGGCUGGGCUGAAGCUAUUUUAUGUAUUUUUCUAGAUCCUGGAUUGUGGAGGACUAAUGCUUCCAGGCAAGCAAAGCCUGCAGCAUCCUUUUGUUCCUGGUGCAUUCAAUGGGCAGUGCAUUGACUCAGCCUUUUACUCAAAGGACACGAGGAUGCUGUAGAUUUCUCCAUUUGACCAGCUGGAUUUGCACCUGAGUUUUGAUCCCAUGGCUCCAGCUGAAGCUCUCCUUACUUCUGCAGAGAUUGUCCCCUAUGCCAGCAGGACCACCUGAGCCAUUGGCCAUCACCCAGCAGGGAAAGGAUCCCGGGCAGCUUGUCAGGUCAAACUGACACCAACUGGUCUGCCACGGCCACAUCAGAGUACCUAUCCAGAGUCUCUGGAGAGCUGCUGAACUGUAAGGAUGUGCAAAGCCCAUAUUCCUGUGACUGCCUAUGUUUGCUAGGUCAGACUGACACUGAUCUGCAGAGAGGAGCUAUGGGCACACCUUUGUUUUAC